rnacentral:lncRNA from 1 species
UGGAACUUUAUUUACCAAAUGUUAGCCUCCGUAUUAAUUAACUAGUUUCUUAAAAAAAAUAGUUUACAAGUAAAAAACAUGACAAUAUUAUACUAUAUGUCAUCGGAACAUGGCUACUGAUAUUAUCAGUUAUAAACUUAAUUAUAUAUGCAAGUAACGCAUGGUGCCUGGUCCAUUAACCCAACGAUUGAUUAUCUUAUUCCGGGACAAAGCAUUGGCUCAAUCAUGCAAAAUCUACUUUAUCAAUAGCUUUUUAUUUACAUAAAAUUUAAACACACUUCGAAUUCUUUCUUAAGAAAUAAAUUAAUUGAUAUAACGUUACGUCAUACGUUUUCUGUUUCGUGUUGCAGUCUUGCAGAUCGGCAUUGCUUUCUUUGAUUGCGCCUACGACGUCAAUAUAAUAAAUUUGUACCAAAGUUCCGAGACUUGUCUCUUUCAAGAUGAUCGAACGACCAAAAACUCCAAUAUGACCAAGCUUUUUGACGCAUUUCGUUUAUAGAAUAAUGAUUCAUUUCUUUUUUCAUGAAAUAUAUGUUUUCGC